ACGCACGCUGGCGGCGUGCUUAACACAUGCAAGUCGAACGGAAAGGCCCUGCUUUUGUGGGGUGCUCGAGUGGCGAACGGGUGAGUAACACGUGAGUAACCUGCCCUUGACUUUGGGAUAACUUCAGGAAACUGGGGCUAAUACCGGAUAGGAGCUCCUGCUGCAUGGUGGGGGUUGGAAAGUUUCGGCGGUUGGGGAUGGACUCGCGGCUUAUCAGCUUGUUGGUGGGGUAGUGGCUUACCAAGGCUUUGACGGGUAGCCGGCCUGAGAGGGUGACCGGCCACAUUGGGACUGAGAUGCGGCCCAGACUCCUACGGGAGGCAGCAGUGGGGAAUAUUGCACAAUGGGCGGAAGCCUGAUGCAGCAACGCCGCGUGCGGGAUGACGGCCUUCGGGUUGUAAACCGCUUUCGCCUGUGACGAAGCGUGAGUGACGGUAAUGGGUAAAGAAGCACCGGCUAACUACGUG
rnacentral:rRNA from 1 species